UGUGCAAACAGCAGGCCAGAAGCUUGCUUCUUAGAAUCCUAAUAUCUAAGUGGUGGGUGGAGAAAGAGGACAGGCCAAAGGACAGUGAGAAGGGGCUGAGAAGCAGAAGGAAACUCAGCAGAGAGUGAGAUGGAGAAUGUCAUCAUUCAGGGAUUCCUAAAUUUCACUUUGGGAAAACCCCCAAUUCUUUAUAUUUAUUCCCAGGCAGACUGAAAUGCUGGUAAUGCAGAUAAAAUUUUCCCUAUUGCUUCACCGUAGAAUCCUUUUACUGGAAAACAAACCAACUGGGUGGGCUAUGGGAACAGAUACAUGAGUUCUCCUCUCUGCUAAUUUAACCAACCACACUGACUCCCAUCACAGAACCGCACAAACAAGCCAGAAACCAAACCCUACCACGAACCCCUGGUGUAUGAAGGGAGCCUAGCUCUGGCUGACUCUGCUUGUAUUCGUAGACACUUUGCCUCAUUGGUUCCUGCCUCAGCUUCCAAUCUGGACAUGGAGCACAGUAACAGUGCGUGCGCUUGAAGGGAGUGUCCGGUGCAGGCAUGCAGGGAGGAAGAAUGACUCUGAGCUUGACCACUCAACUUCGAAACUUUAACAAUCAAUGGAUCAACACACACUGGUGUACGGUCUGCUGUGCAUGCAGCCCUGUGCUAGGCAAAAGAAGUAUCAGAGCAGGAACUGACAGUCUCUCUGCAACAGGAAGACAGGCUUCACACAAUAAGCAUUUCAUUCAACCAGGCUAGACCCCUGCUUAUUGAGUUGAACAUCACCGAGCACAAAAUGCAAGCCAGAUAUCAUAAGAGCUGUAAGGAUGAUAAAGACGUCUCUCCGCCCUCGAGAGCUCUAAGUGUGGUGGUCGGGAGAGAAACACACAGAAGGAUUAUGCUGGCUGGAGGGAAAUGCUGGAAUGAAGGUGGAAGGUACAUCCAGAAUGUUCUGGGGGUGAGGAAUAGCAAAUGAUGGGUUCUGACUUAGAACACGAAGGGAAGGUAUUAAGAGGUGAUAUUAAGCAUUUAUUGAGCAUCUCUACCUUUUUUGUAUAUGUGACCUUGUCUGGAAAUAGAGUAUCUCUUCUUGAUGCUGGCAA